rnacentral:rRNA from 1 species
CUUCUCAAUGGUGACUUCAACAUCAUCUAUGAGGCCAGUGACAAGAAUAAUCUCAACCUUAAUAGAAGGAUAAUGGGCCGGUUUAGAAACGCCCUGGACUUGGCUGGACUGUGAGAGAUCAAGUGUAAAAAUCGUAGAUACACUUGGAGCAACGAGCGUCAAAACCCUACACUAGUUAGUAUUGACAAAUUCUUCUGCAACACUAACUGGGAGCUGCUCUUCCCCAUCGACAUUCUGAUGGCAGCGUCGACAGUCGUCUCUGACCACUGCCCGCUUCUGCUGGCAAAUGCAUCCUCCCCUCUUAGACGUGCGAGAUUCAGAUUUGAAGUCUUCUGGCUGCACUUCCCGCAUUUCCAGGAGACCGUUGAGAAGGCGUGGAACAGGCCCACUACUCAGACAUGUGCCUUCAACAGGCUGGCGAUCAAAUUACAAAGAACAACAAAAGACCUGAAAGUUUGGAGCAAAACCCUGUUCAGUGACGCCAAGGUGCAGUUCCAUAUGGUGAACGAGGUGAUCCUGCGAUUGAAUAUCACAUAG